rnacentral:lncRNA from 1 species
GAGGCAAAGGAGGAGGUAGGAUUUUGUUCCUUCAUGGCGGUUCACCCAUCCCUCCACGACGACGCUUUGCAUGAGUUACCGGGGCCCCCACACCUCACAGAGGGUCACGCCAGGCUGCGUUAGCAGCCAAAGAGAAGGUCAGCUAGACUAUCCGCUAAACCUGCUCCUCCUAAGCCGGAGCCAAAGCCCAAAAAGGCAGCACCUAAGAAAGAAAAGGCAGCAAAUGAUAAAAAGGAGGACAAAAAAGCAGCAACAAAAGGGAAGAAAGGAGCCAAAGGCAAAGAUGAAACUAAACAGGAGGAUGCUAAAGAAGAAAACCACUCUGAAAAUGGAGAUACCAAAACUAAUGAGGCACCAGCUGCUGAAGCAUCUGAUGAUAAGGAAGCCAAGUCCGAGUAAUGUUAACCCUGCCCUAUAUCUCCAUCAUUUGGUAUCCGUACCUCCAUGCUGUAUUGUUAACAGAGAGGAAUAUUUUUAUCAACUAUUUUAUAAAUGCAGGUUUUUUUAG